rnacentral:lncRNA from 1 species
AGCAAAAUUGAACUGGGUUUUAUAAAAUGAAAUCAACGUGAACAGAAAAUUAUGUCUUGCGUCCAAGAGCCACUACACGGCCCACUUACCAAACCUAACAAACUUUACACUAACAGCAAAAUAGAAAUAAGGAUAAAACAUUUAUAAAGGAAAAAACAACUAAUUUAAAGCCCACUUCCUCGGGAAAGUCAUUAUCCGUCCCAUCAACUGUCCAGCCAUAAGUGCCUGACGAUCUCUCUUUCCCAAAACACCCUUUUCCAUCCAAAAAAUGGCUCCCUGAUUUCCAAUUAGUCAUUUCCUUCACAAAACAUUUCUCCGACGUUUUGAUUCCCAGGGAGCAAAAACUAUCUUCCUCACAAAGCUUUAGUCUGGUUCUCUGAUCCAAUCGUCUUCCAGAGCUUUAACUGCAUGACUUGGCACUGCACCUUCCAGGUAAAACCCUUUCCUUUUCUUCAUACUCUCAGUGGCUAUUAUGUCUGCCAGAGCGUUUGCUGUGCGAUGUACAUAAUGAAAUUUGAUAGACUUGAACUCGCUCUGUAAAGCCUUUAUGUUGUGGAUGAUGGAACAGAUUCCUGAUUUAUCUCUGGAUUCUGAAAUGCAUUUCUUAAUGGCUGAGAUCGACUACCCUUCAAUGUAGAUUUUACGAUCUUUCAGUUCUAACCCCAUUUUAACUGCCUCUAAACAUGCAUGUGCUUCUGCUGCGAAAGCCGAACUAACAUUCUCGUAAAUGGUCGCUCUGGAGGCGAUCACUUUCCCCUUCCGUCUCUAGCGACCACUCACGAGCCUGCUCUGAAAAGACCUCGACUAAAACCGGCGUCGAAAUUGAUUUUUACAUCUUCUCCCGAAGGGGGAACUCAUGUUUCUCUGAUCGUUGCCUUGGUCAGCCCAUUUUCCUCUAGGCUGUCCAACUCUUUUAUAUAUCUGUGAAUAAAAAAGGUCAUAUCCUUACUCGAAUUCUUUAUUUUUUUUCAUGUACAUAGAAUUUUUAAAUUUGUAUAAAUAAUGUAUUAUAAACUUUGUAUAAUAUUUUUCAUUUUUAAACCGUUUAUAAUUAUUUUAAAAAUUAGUAUAAGUAAAUUUUUAUACUAAGCUUAAAAAGUAUUUCAAUGAAAAUUAAAUAAUAUAUAUAUGUAUAUUUUAAAAGUUAUUAUAAGUCAAUUUUUAUACAUAUUAUAAUCCUUAUGAUGAAUUCAAAUUGGAACCAUUGUUCCUUACAUAAAUGUUUAAUUUCUGUAAAUUAAGAAGACAAACUUGACACUAAAUUGAAACAAUUUAAAACAAAUUAUAGUUUGAGACCAAAGACCCUAAUCCCAAAUGUGGAAUAAGAUCAAAAACCCAUAAAAUAAAAGACAUCUUAUCUUGUUUUCUGAAAAACCCAUAUGAAAAAUUGAGAAUUUUGAAAUUCUCAGAAGUAAAGAAGAAGCAAAGGUAGAAGAACAGAAAAGAUAUCAGAGAUUAAAAAAAAAAAUAAAUCUUCUAUUAUAUUAUAUUUUCACAAGAGAUUAUGCUAAUUAAGGGUGCCUUGUGCGGUGUUUGCAAGUAAUUACAAGAUUAGCAUGUAAAUUUUUUUAUGGUUUGGCAAGAUCACAAGAGAUAUAAAUAUAUAAUAGGCUGUUAAUGUCGAAUUGAUUAAUAAAAUUUUAAACCCACCUGUCAUUUUUUAUAUUGGUGGGACAUAAAGAGAGACGCAAACAAAGCGCAGGGCAUUUUUAUUCCUCAAGUAAGACCACUUAUAACCACCAAUUAAUUAUUCAAGUACAAAAGGCCACCCAGACGAAGACCUAUCAUCGACCCCAUCCCAAUAACAUACAUGAAUCAAAAUUACUGGUUAUUUAAAUUUUUUAACAGAUUCAAUGCCUAUAAAUUGCAGCAUUAAGUCCAAAUACCUCAAAAUUAGUAAAUGCAACUGGCAUUUCUCCUUUUGCCCGAAUCUUGAGCAUAUUGAAUCCAAGAAGGAAAAAAUAGAAAGAAAAAUAAAGUUUUAAGUCAAUUACUCUUAUCUCCACGUGGUAAAGAAACAUCAGACAAAUUGGUAAAGAUUAAAAAUGAUUUUUGGAAACUUUUGCCAGUUGAUAAGUGGAUUGAAGAAAUAGAAAGGUUUGGUUUUCUGCAUAUAUAUGCAGCUACGGGAGUGAAGAAAAAGAUAGCAUAAUGGUCUAUAAAAAGACCUUGGAACUACCCUAAAGCCAUAAAUACUUCAUUGCAAGGAGACCUUGAGUCAAAAUGGGUUAUUAUAGUGAAUUGGUUUUUCUAGUCAUUGUUUUAUGCAAAAAGAGAGCAUAAGGAGUAGCAUGGUGGCUUUAGGGAAUGACCAAUGAUAGAUUUGGCAUGGCUUGUCCCUUACUAGAAGAAUUUCUCUGUUACGUGCUUCCUUGCUCUGUCUCGAACUUCCUUUCCUGGCUUUUUGUUGUUCUGUGGGCUUGAAUUCUACUUAUUUGAACAUAAAAAUGGUGGCCUUGGCACGACCCCAAACCCAUAACUUGUGUUCUCUAAAUUCAGUUUACAGAAAGUUGAAAGAAAAAAAAAAUGAGGUGAAGCUUUUAUAUAACAUGUUCCUGAACUUUCCAAUACAUGAGCAACUUUUCACAAUUAUGCAUUGGCAAUUUCCAUAAUACAAAAACAACACGAAAACUAUGUUACGCGAUGAAAGUUUCAGCUGAGUAUGUUAACUCAAAUGUAGAACCUAUAUAUGUAUAUUAUUUUAAGAAUAUUAUACAAUGUACAAUAGUGCAUUGAAAAUUGAUUUAGUCACAAUCCUCCUUUAGGAUUUAAUCAUAACUACUCAUAUGCACAUCAUCUCAGAUAUCUUAGUUUUCUUAAAAUUAGCUGCUUGAAAAAAUGUUGGCAGCAUAAAUUAAGGCUACUUAUGUUUAAAAUUGACCACCAUGCAUGUAGGAUCUUAUACAUUAAGGCAAGGAAGGUUCAGGAGGACGGGUAGCCCAUAGUGUACUCAAAGCUCGAAGACGGUGGAAGUAUUCUCCUAAAGCAAGUAAGCCUCGAGCUGCCUGACGAGUUGUCAGGAUGCGAGACAUCUGCUGUAGCGUUUCCUGCCGAAGGUGAUCAGCCUGCGAAUGGAAAUAUAUAGGCAUUAGUUUAAACUUGAAUAAGAUCAUUAAAAUGGCUUCUCUUUGACAAUAAAGUUUUGUUAUCUAGACACUUAUACAUCACUAAACUUAAUUUUGGUGUGCUCAUACUUUGUGAACUUUAGCUAUGUUCUCUAGUUGAACAAAAACUGUUUGUCACCAACCUAGUUCAUAACAAUAAAUCCAUUGACCAAGAUGUCUACGGUUUCGCACCUUUCCGGGAAGCCCUAGGUUUUUCAAUAUAAGAUAAUUAGAAAAUUUUCUAGGUUAUCAUAUAACCCGUAUUACCUGUCACAGUAGGUGCAGCAUAUAUAGUUAAACAUCAUUUUGAAAUGAAAAUGAUAUAGUAAUUUAUUAAAAAUCUCGCACUUGUUGAUUAUAUUUUCACUUCAAAUGCAUGGAUAAAGAACCAAUUUCUGGGUAAUAUAUAUUGACUUGAAAAGAAAAACUAACUCUGGAAAGUUCCUAGAAUAAACUCAUGUGUGGCACCAUGAAAUGAUGCAAUUAGUACCUGGUUCACAAAGCUGACUAAAGCUUCUAACUUCUCCAUUGCAGUAGCCACUUGAGGAAUGUAACUAACUUCGUCCACUGGACCACCUGCCACGGUGGAAGACACAGUUUCCUGGAGUUUCUCCAUACCUUGCGAAAGGGCGUCUUCAGCUUGCUGACAAGAUUGUUUCAGGUUACAAACUUCCAAAAUUUG